rnacentral:rRNA from 1 species
GUGGGGAAUAUUGGACAAUGGGCGAAAGCCUGAUCCAGCAAUGCCGCGUGAGUGAUGAAGGCCUUAGGGUUGUAAAGCUCUUUUACCAGGGAUGAUAAUGACAGUACCUGGAGAAUAAGCUCCGGCUAACUCCGUGCCAGCAGCCGCGGUAAUACGGAGGGAGCUAGCGUUGUUCGGAAUUACUGGGCGUAAAGCGCACGUAGGCGGUUACUCAAGUCAGAGGUGAAAGCCCGGGGCUCAACCCCGGAACUGCCUUUGAAACUAGGUAACUAGAAUCUUGGAGAGGUCAGUGGAAUUCCGGGUGUAGAGGUGAAAUUCGUAGAUAUUCGGAAGAACACCAGUGGCGAAGGCGACUGACUGGACAAGUAUUGACGCUGAGGUGCGAAAGCGUGGGGAGCAAACAGGAUUAGAUACCCGGGUAGUCC